AUUGAACGCUGGCGGCAUGCUUUACACAUGCAAGUCGAGCGGCAGCGCGGGCUUCGGCCUGGCGGCGAGUGGCGCACGGGUGAGUAAUGCAUCGGAACGUGCCCAGCUGUGGGGGAUAGCCCGGCGAAAGCCGGAUUAAUACCGCAUACGACCUGAGGGUGAAAGCGGGGGACCGAAAGGCCUCGCGCUAUUGGAGCGGCCGAGGGCGGAUUAGCUAGUUGGUGGGGUAAAGGCUUACCAAGGCGACGAUCCGUAGCUGGUCUGAGAGGACGACCGGCCACACUGGGACUGGGACACGGCCAAGACUCCUACGGGAGGCAGCAGUGGGGAAUUUUGGACAAUGGGGGGAAACCUGAUACAGCCAUGCCGCGUGCGGGAAGAAGGCCUUCGGGUUGUAAACCGCUUUUGUGCGGGAAGAAAUCCUCUGGGCUAAUACCCCGGGGGGAUGACGGUACCGGAAGAAUAAGCACCGGCUAACUACGUG
rnacentral:rRNA from 1 species